rnacentral:tRNA from 1 species
AUUUAAAUAGCUCAAUAAAGAGUAUAAUAUUGAAGAUAUUAAGAUGAUUAUUAAAAUCUUUAAAUA